rnacentral:rRNA from 1 species
GCUUAACGCGAAGAACCUUACCCAGGUUUGACAUCCCACUAAGGACUCCGAAAGGAGACUGUGUCUUCGGACCGUGGUGACAGGUGUUGCAUGGCCGUCGUCAGCUCGUGUCGUGAGAUGUUUGGUUAAGUCCAUCAACGAGCGCAACCCUUAUAGUUAGUUGUAUUUCUCUAGCUAGACUGCCCUGGCAACAGGGAGGAAGGAGGGGAUGAUGUCAGGUCAGUAUUACCCUUACACCUGGGGCUACAAACACGCUACAAUGGCCGGUACAAAGGGCAGCCAACCCGCGAGGGGGAGCAAAUCCCAUCAAAGCCGGUCUCAGUUCGGAUUGCAGGCUGAAACUCGCCUGCAUGAAGCUGGAAUCGCUAGUAAUGGUAGGUCAGCACACUACCGUGAAUACGUUCCCGGGUCUUGUACACACCG